UCUAAAAUCUAAUCAAGCUGGGUGCCUUAGAUUUCUUCCCAGUUGAAGCUGGAUCAUUGGCAUAAGCAAAAGCUAUGUCAAAGAACAACAAUGGCGGACCGUGUGUUCAACGAAAUCAGGAACAUACUUACGAUCCAGUGAGAUCGUUAAAUCGGAUGGUGUCGGAGCCUUACUACCUAUUUCACUUGCUCGUUUUCUUCUCCUACAUCCCCAUUCGAUUCUCCGCUUCUCAGCUCCUCUCUCCUGCUCGCAACUCUUUCCUUCUUAAACGAGAAAUUCAAGUGUUUGUUGCAUACUGCGUCUUGGCUGUUGUGAAGAUUGUAAAGACAGAAAGCUGGGAAUCCUUCAUUCAUGAUACUUUAUUUUUUGCUAAGAUUUUCCUUACUGCCAUUGCUUUAGUUUUGGAUUAUCACUUGGCACUCUGGUACACAUUGGCAUUUUUAGUUAUACACAUUAUAGCGCAGCAGCCUCCAUAUGAAGGACUAGGUUCUUCAAAUCAUUUGACACCAUUGCAGUUGGAGACUUUGCUUACUGAAGGGAAUACAUCACGCUUUUGGCUGGUCGAAUUUCGUGCUUUCUCCACACCGGCUUGUGUAUGCACAAGUUCCUUUUUCCCAGAACUCUCAAUAACAUACUCAAACGCAAAUUUAUCUUUUGGGACUGUUGAUAUUGGACUCUUCCCUAAUGCUGCUGAAAAAAUUGGCAUUCCUCUUGGAAGCUUGAACCAACUUCCAGUGUACAUUCUAUUUGAGAAUGCUAUAGAGGUUGCACGCUUUCCAGAGUUUGAUUCUGAGCCAUAUGUUUUUGGUCCUACCAUUACAAAGGUCAUUGAUCUGGCAAGGCCCAUGCACUAAGCGGCAGUGAGCAUAAACUUCUUUGUGGCCGUUUUGAGCUUGACAAAAGACUUCUGGAUUAUGUAAAUGGAAAAUAGGUCAAACAUGAACAGUAUUUGCUGUCUUCCUUUUGUUUCAUCUGAGCGUUGGGCUUUUGACCUUCCAACCCCAAUAGAAGAUGUUAUUCAUUCUCAUUCGGUUUCUCAAGCUACUUAAUCGCUUCUGUUCUUCCUUCAAAUUUCCUGUCAAAACUGUAGGCAAACAUGUUAAGGGUGCUGGAUCAGAGAUAUGAUUCAUACUUGACAUAGUUAAAAGAGGGAAAUGAGAACCUUAUUAUGCUGCAGUCAUUAGGUCACUGGUUUUGGAUUUGUACACUGCAGUUCAAAUAGUGCCUUUUUGACCACAGGGAAACAAUUUUUUUUUUCUCAGUUUUUCAAGUUCCUUUGAUUCGGAUGCAUGCAAGUGAAUGACAUAAAACCUGCGUCUGGAAGUUUUCUAUAUAUCUAUUGUUUGGUUAAAAUUA